AAGGAAUAUUGCUCAAUGGGAGAAAUCCUGAAGCAGCAACGCCGCGUGAAGGAUGAAGGGUCUAUGACUUGUAAACUCCUGUAAAGAAGGAAAAAAUUCCCAUUAGAUGGGAGAUGAUGGUACUUCUGGAGUAAGCCCCGGCUAACUACGUGCCAGCAGCCGCGGUAAUACGUAGGGGGCAAGCGUUGUCCGGAUUUACUGGGUGUAAAGGGUGCUCAGGCGGAUUUGUAAGUCAGAGGUGAAAUCUUACAGCUUAACUGUGAAACUGCCUUUGAUACUGCAAGCCUAGAGUAUGGAAGAGAGUGAUGGAAUAUCUGGUGUAGCAGUGAAAUGCGUAGAUAUCAGAUAGAACACCAAUGGCGAAGGCAGUCACUUGGUCCAUUACUGACGCUAAAGCACGAAAGCGUGGGUAGCAAACA
rnacentral:rRNA from 1 species